GUCCAUAUAUGGGGCUCGCUGAGGACUGUACAUAAACAUUGUCAUCAUGUGCGUUAGGUACAGGGGACAAAAUGUUCAGCUGCAUUCUAUUGGACAAAUCACAGUUCUAAACAUAGUAAGAACAACACUACUUUUCUGAAACAGAAAAUCGCCAUUGGCUUCUCAGCAUGGUGGAAAUGACAACUGGAAUCACACAAAGGAAUUUGGGAGGAAAAGAGAAGAUGGUAUUUCAGCUGUGGGUAAGAACCUUUAACAACUCUCUCAUGCUUGCUCACUGCAGAAGAUUCAGCCAUCUGUCAAAGCCCGUCAACACGUGCUUGUCCUCUCUGAAACUUCAUUGGGGAUCAAACUUCAGCAGAGACCUAUGAUUUAGACGUUAAAAAAAAUAUGAUGACUUUUCAACGUGGAGAUGGAAAUCAGAACAACGACAUUGGCAGGAAGAUUUAUUCCUGCCUUUAUGACCUCAAGACCUGGCCCAUCUCUGCCCACCAACCCCAUCACAUCAAGAUGGGCAUCGUAUCUUUGCUGAACUCAUGUAUACUCUCGGCUUCACCAUCGUUUGGAGUAACUGCCCUUCCAGGUGGGUGUUCUUGGGCAGCUGGAGGUCCCUGAGAGCAGCUGUCCUCUUCACAGCCACUGCUCCUCAAUGUCACACUGAACGUCACCUGGCCUGGGGUUGUGGGUGCCUAUCCUCCUCCCGGGCCUCCCUCUAGGUGUGGACUGCUGGCCAAGCUCACCAGAGCUCUCUUUUCUAAAGGAUCGAAUCCACAUCUCUCCAACAUGAUUUCCCUCCAUGAUUUUAAUAAGUUCAUCACCUAAUUGAAAAAGCCACGCAAAUGGCAGGCGAAGCCGUGGGAGAGAACGAGUGUGGGGUGUGGUUGCAAAUGUGUGUGCGUGCAACUGUGCACAUGAGUGUGUUCAUGGCUGCGUGCACCCUCAUGGAGUGAGGUGAAGGAAAAUGAAAACCAUAAAUCCCAUCCUGCUGCUCACAGAGCAUCUUUGGAGUUGGAGUCUAAAGAUUGUAGCUGAACUCUGCCAGUUCAUUCAUUAUUUAAUCCUUUAAUUGAUGACCAUGGAGGAAAGAUGACAGCAGCACAUCCUUGGCAGGGAGGCAAAUUCCAUUUAUUUGUUUAUUACUGUUGCACAAUUCAUCUAGUGGAGAGUGAGUGACGGGAGGCCACCAUGUGUCAAGGUUCCGAAUGUUGUUAUAAAUAACAAUUAAUCCACUUAGAUAUCUGGCCCCACUCAACCUGAAGAAUCCCAUUGGAUAGAAAAGAUUCCAGAGGAGAAUUUUGAGGAGCAAACAGAGCUUUCCAUUUUCUUGGCUCUCUGCUGCUACUCUGGUCAUUCCAAAAGUGCCUGAGGUUUUCUGAGAUGAUGAAUAUUCACGAGUGUUUGUAUCAUCUCUUAACUCCUAUUGUUUUACUGCCAGCAUCCCUUCUUUGGCAGUUAAUCACACAUUACCUCCGGAUGUUUCUUGAAUUGCUACGUUAAGCUGCUAAAUUUUCUAUUAUGCAUUUGUUAUCUAUAUAUUGUCUCCUUAAAAAGACUGUAAACUUCCUUGAAGGCAGGGAUUAUCCCUUAGCAUAGGUACGGGGUGGAUGUUUCCUAACAGAGGAAGUGAAAAUUGAUUGAAUUCCUAUUGUGUCGUGGGACUUGUGCUUAUAGCCUUCGUACACUUUCAGCAAGAGUUGAAUGUGGAGAAAAUGCAGCUAGGAUCGCUCUGUUAAAUUAAGCAAGCAGAAGGCCAUUAGCCCAUGGCGGUCUCCGCACUUAGAGUUCCUGUGCAACAAAUCUCAGCCUAACUUAUUACACAAACAAACUGAAACCUAAUUUAGGAGGUUUUCUUUUACUUGGUAACUAAUAGCAGGGUUUCAGCCAAUCACAAGCAGCCGAGCUUCAGCCAACUGCAGGCAGCCAAUGGAUCAGCUCAUGUCCAAGUAAGGUAAACUAGCUUCAGCCAAUCAGGUGAUUUUGCCACUUCACCUCUGUUUUCAGCCUACAAGAGCCCACUGUCCACACUGCAGAGCUGAGCUCUCCGAACCUCUUCCGUCCUGAGUGCUGCCUGGUUCAAAAUUGUUUUUUGCCCAAAUAAACGCUG
ensembl:lincRNA